AUGCUGCUCCUGCUCCCGGGCAUCCUGAUGGCCUCCCUGUGGACGUACACAAGUGGAGACAAUCUCAUAACACAACUUGUAACAUCCAUCACCAAGAAAAAAGGAAAUACAGCAUUUCUUGAAUGCCGAAUAAAACCCAAUACCUUUAAGAAGAAUGUAUGUGUACACUGGUACCACCAGAAGCCAGACCGAUCCCUAAAACGAAUUCUGUAUAUCUCCUCAAAUGAAAAUAUUGUCCAUGAACAAGGUUUUAGUGAGGAAAGAUAUGAAGCAAAGAAACGGCAAAAGUGACUUGUCCUCCAGCCUGAGAAUACACCGAGUCACAGAGGAGGACGCAGGGAUGUAUUACUGUGCUUGCUGGGACACACUCACCAGUUGGAUCAAGAUAUUUGCAGAGGGGACUAAGCUCAUAAUAACUCCACCUGGUAAGUAA